AGUCACUGACAUUAGAUACCCCUGUAGUCCCAGCCGUAAACUAUGCGCGUUAGGUGUACUGGUGACCACGAGUCACCGAGGUGCCGAAGGGAAACCGUGAAACGUGCCGCCUGGGAAGUACGGUCGCAAGGCUGAAACUUAAAGGAAUUGGCGGGGAGCACCACAACGGGUGGAGCCUGCGGUUUAAUUGGACUCAACGCCGGAAAACUCAUCGGGAGCGACAGCAGUAUGAUUGCCAGGUUGAUGACCUUGCUUGACAAGCUG
rnacentral:rRNA from 1 species